rnacentral:tRNA from 1 species
AGCCCCGUCGUCUAGUGGCCAAGGACAGCGGGCUUUGGACCCGCGAACACCGGUUCGAAUCCGAUCGGGGCUA